ensembl:lncRNA
AUGAAUCAGGGUGAGGACCCGGAGGAGGGAGUCCCUCCCUCUGAAGCCCCUCUGUGUGGGGAACAUGACAGCCAGACCACAGCUCAGAGGAUCCAUCAGAGACCAGGACCUGGACCCGCAUCUGGAUAUGAACCUGAUCCUGGACCUGGUCCUGAACCCAGCUGUGUGUCCAUGAAGAGUAACCGGUCUAAAGAUUUUCCCAUCAACUUCAAACUUGGCCGCCCCUCUGUUGAUGCAAGUUCACAUCAGCAGAGAGGAAAGUCUCCUGAACCCAGAUGUGUGUCCAUGAAGAGUAAUCGGUCUAAACGAUUUCCCAUAAACUUCAAAGAUGGAUGCCGUUCUUAUGACCCAGAAGAGGACCAGGAGAGCUCAGAGGUCCCCACAGGUCCGUCUGCCCAGCAGCAUCAAACACAUCUGGACUCCAUCUUCAUGGUGUGUACAUGUACAACUACUUUAACAUCUCUCAGUUCACCAUCAAAUCCAUGCUGCACUUUGUAGACCAGUGGAUUGUCAAUCUGUCCAACAUGGACCUGAUGGUGGCUUCCAUGUUAUAGUUUGUGUCAUUCAUAGAAUAUUCUG